UUUUCGGAUCGUAAAAAUUCUGUUGUUAGAGAAGAACAAGGAUGAGAGUAAAAUGUUCAUCCCUUGACGGUAUCUAACCAGAAAGCCACGGCUAACUACGUGCCAGCAGCCGCGGUAAUACGUAGGUGGCAAGCGUUGUCCGGAUUUAUUGGGCGUAAAGCGAGCGCAGGCGGUUUCUUAAGUCUGAUGWGAAAGCCCCCGGCUCAACCGGGGAGGGUCAUUGGAAACUGGGAGACUUGAGUGCAGAAGAGGAGAGUGGAAUUCCAUGUGUAGCGGUGAAAUGCGUAGAUAUAUGGAGGAACACCAGUGGCGAAGGCGGCUCUCUGGUCUGUAACUGACGGUGAGGCUCGAAAGCGUGGGGAGCGAACAGGAUUAGAUACCCUGGUAGUCCACGCCGUAAACGAUGAGUGCUAAGUGUUGGAGGGUUUCCGCCCUUCAGUGCUGCAGCAAACGCAUUAAGCACUCCGCCUGGGGAGUACGACCGCAAGGUUGAAACUCAAAGGAAUUGACGGGGGCCCGCACAAGCGGUGGAGCAUGUGGUUUAAUUCGAAGCAACGCGAAGAACCUUACCAGGUCUUGACAUCCUUUGACCACUCUAGAGAUAGAGCUUCCCCUUGGGGGCAAAGUGACAGGUGGUGCAUGGUUGUCGUCAGCUCGUGUCGUGAGAUGUUGGGUUAAGUCCCGCAACGAGCGCAACCCUUAUUGUUAGUUGCCAUCAUUUAGUUGGGCACUCUAGCGAGACUGCCGGUGACAAACCGGAGGAAGGUGGGGAUGACGUCAAAUCAUCAUGCCCCUUAUGACCUGGGCUACACACGUGCUACAAUGGGAAGUACAACGAGUUGCGAAGUCGCGAGGCUAAGCUAAUCUCUUAAAGCUUCUCUCAGUUCGGAUUGUAGGCUGCAACUCGCCUACAUGAAGCCGGAAUCGCUAGUAAUCGCGGAUCAGCACGCCGCGGUGAAUACGUUCCCGGGCCUUGUACACACCGCCCGUCACACCACGAGAGUUUGUAACACCCGAAGUCGGUGAGGUAACC
rnacentral:rRNA from 1 species